rnacentral:rRNA from 1 species
AGCGAACGCUGGCGGCAGGCCUAACACAUGCAAGUCGAACGAACUCUUCGGAGUUAGUGGCGGACGGGUGAGUAACACGAGGGAACGUGCCUUUUGGUUCGGAAUAACUCAGGGAAACUUGUGCUAAUACCGAAUGUGCCCUUCGGGGGAAAGAUUUAUCGCCAUUAGAGCGGCCCGCGUCUGAUUAGCUAGUUGGUGAGGUAACGGCUCACCAAGGCGACGAUCAGUAGCUGGUCUGAGAGGAUGACCAGCCACACUGGGACUGAGACACGGCCCAGACUCCUACGGGAGGCAGCAGUGGGGAAUCUUGCGCAAUGGGCGAAAGCCUGACGCAGCCAUGCCGCGUGAAUGAUGAAGGUCUUAGGAUUGUAAAAUUCUUUCACCGGGGACGAUAAUGACGGUACCCGGAGAAGAAGCCCCGGCUAACUUCGUG